GACGAACGCUGCGGCGUGCUUAACACAUGCCAGUCGAACGGAAAGGCCCUGCUUGCAGGGUACUCGAGUGGCGAACGGGUGAGUAACACGUGGGUGAUCUGCCCUGCACUUCGGGAUAAGCUUGGGAAACUGGGUCUAAUACCGGAUAGGAGCCAUCUUUAGUGUGGUGGUUGGAAAGUUUUUUCGGUGUAGGAUGAGCUCGCGGCCUAUCAGCUUGUUGGUGGGGUAAUGGCCUACCAAGGCGGCGACGGGUAGCCGGCCUGAGAGGGUGUACGGCCACAUUGGGACUGAGAUACGGCCCAGACUCCUACGGGAGGCAGCAGUGGGGAAUAUUGCACAAUGGGCGCAAGCCUGAUGCAGCGACGCCGCGUGGGGGAUGAAGGCCUUCGGGUUGUAAACUCCUUUCGCUAGGGACGAAGCUUUGUUGUGACGGUACCUAGAUAAGAAGCACCGGCUAACUACGUG
rnacentral:rRNA from 1 species